rnacentral:rRNA from 1 species
UACGUAGGGUGCGAGCGUUGUCCGGAAUUAUUGGGCGUAAAGAGCUUGUAGGCGGUUUGUCGCGUCUGCUGUGAAAAUCCGGGGCUCAACCCCGGACUUGCAGUGGGUACGGGCAGACUAGAGUGUGGUAGGGGAGACUGGAAUUCCUGGUGUAGCGGUGGAAUGCGCAGAUAUCAGGAGGAACACCGAUGGCGAAGGCAGGUCUCUGGGCCACUACUGACGCUGAGAAGCGAAAGCAUGGGGAGCGAACAGGG